GCCAUUGUGGUUUCACACCUCGGGAUGGU
rnacentral:sRNA from 1 species